UACGUAGGGGGCAAGCGUUGUCCGGAUUUAUUGGGCGUAAAGAGCGUGUAGGCGGCCAGACAAGUCUGCUGUGAAAACUCGAGGCUCAACCUCGAGCUGUCGGUGGAAACUGUCGGGCUAGAGUCCGGAAGAGGCGAGUGGAAUUCCUGGUGUAGCGGUGGAAUGCGUAGAUAUCAGGAGGAACACCUGUGGUGUAGACAGCUUACUGGACCACUUCUGACGCUGAGACACGAAAGCGUGGGUAGCAAACAGG
rnacentral:rRNA from 1 species